rnacentral:rRNA from 1 species
GAUGAACGCUGGCGGCGUGCCUAAUACAUGCAAGUCGAGCGAACAGACGAGGAGCUUGCUCCUCUGACGUUAGCGGCGGACGGGUGAGUAACACGUGGAUAACCUACCUAUAAGACUGGGAUAACUUCGGGACACCGGAGCUAAUACCGGAUAAUAUAUUGAACCGCAUGGUUCAAUAGUGAAAGACGGUUUUGCUGUCACUUAUAGAUGGAUCCGCGCCGCAUUAGCUAGUUGGUAAGGUAACGGCUUACCAAGGCAACGAUGCGUAGCCGACCUGAGAGGGUGAUCGGCCACACUGGAACUGAGACACGGUCCAGACUCCUACGGGAGGCAGCAGUAGGGAAUCUUCCGCAAUGGGCGAAAGACUGACGGAGCAACGCCGCGUGAGUGAUGAAGGUCUUCGGAUCGUAAAACUCUGUUAUUAGGGAAGAACAAAUGUGUAAGUAACUAUGCACGUCUUGACGGUACCUAAUCAGAAAGCCACGGCUAACUACGUG